rnacentral:rRNA from 1 species
GACGAACGCUGGCGGCGUGCUUAACACAUGCAAGUCGAACGGAAAGGCCUGCUUUCCCUUGUGUUUUUCGGGUACUCGAGUGGCGAACGGGUGAGUAACACGUGAGUGAUCUGCCCCCAACUUGGGUAUAAGCCUGGGAAACUGGGUCUAAUUCCCGAUAGGACUGCAGGGUGGUGCCUGUGGUGGCAAACGAUUUUCUAGUAGUUGGGGAUGUGCUCGCGGCCUAUCAGCUUGUUGGUGGGGUAAUGGCCUACCAAGGCGUCGACGGGUAGCCGGCCUGGGAGGGUGGACGGCCACAUUGGGACUGAGACACGGCCCAGACUCCUACGGGAGGCAGCAGUGGGGAAUAUUGGACAAUGGGCGGGAGCCUGAAGCAGCGAAGCAGCGUGGGGGAUGACGGCCUUCGGGUUGUAAACUCCUUUCGACCGCGAGGAAGACACCUGGUUGGAAGGGUGGUGACGGUAGUGGUAGAAGAAGCAACGGCUAACUACGUG